rnacentral:rRNA from 1 species
AUUGAACGCUGGCGGCAGGCCUAACACAUGCAAGUCGAACGGUAACAGGAAGCAGCUUGCUGCUUCGCUGACGAGUGGCGGACGGGUGAGUAAUGUCUGGGAAGCUGCCUGAUGGAGGGGGAUAACUACUGGAAACGGUAGCUAAUACCGCAUAAUGUCGCAAGACCAAAGAGGGGGACCUUCGGGCCUCUUGCCAUCGGAUGUGCCCAGAUGGGAUUAGCUUGUUGGUGGCGUAACGGCUCACCAAGGCGACGAUCCCUAGCUGGUCUGAGAGGAUGACCAGCCACACUGGAACUGAGACACGGUCCAGACUCCUACGGGAGGCAGCAGUGGGGAAUAUUGCACAAUGGGCGCAAGCCUGAUGCAGCCAUGCCGCGUGUAUGAAGAAGGCCUUCGGGUUGUAAAGUACUUUCAGCGGGGAGGAAGGGAGUAAAGUUAAUACCUUUGCUCAUUGACGUUACCCGCAGAAGAAGCACCGGCUAACUCCGUG